rnacentral:rRNA from 1 species
CCUACGGGAUGCAGCAGUGGGGGAUAUUGCACAAUGGGGGGAACCCUGAUGCAGCGACGCCGCGUGGGUGAAGGAGUAUUUCGGUAUGUAAAGCCCUAUCGGCAGGGAAGAAAUUGGACGGUACCUGACUAAGAAGCCCCGGCUAACUACGUGCAAGCAGCCGCGGUAAUACGUAGGGGGCAAGCGUUAUCCGGAUUCACUGGGUGUAAAGGGAGCGUAGACGGCCAUGCAAGCCAGGGGUGAAAGCCCGGGGCGCAACCCCGGGACUGCCCUUGGAACUGCAUGGCUGGAGUGCGGGAGGGGCAGGCGGAAUGCCGGGGGUAGCGGGGAAAUGCGUAGAUAUCAGGAGGAACACCGGCGGCGAAGGCGGCCUGCUGGACCGCGACUGACGUUGAGGCUCGAAAGCGUGGGGAGCGAACAGGAUUAGAUACCCCAGUAGUC